rnacentral:rRNA from 1 species
CCAGAGAACUUAGCAGAGAUGCUUUGGUGCCUUCGGGAACUCUGAGACAGGUGCUGCAUGGCUGUCGACAGCUCGUGUUGUGAAAUGUUGGGUUAAGUCCCGCAACGAGCGCAACCCUUAUCCUUUGUUGCCAGCGGCUCGGCCGGGAACUCAAAGGAGACUGCCGGUGAUAAACCGGAGGAAGGUGGGGAUGACGUCAAGUCAUCAUGGCCCUUACGGCCAGGGCUACACACGUGCUACAAUGGCGCAUACAAAGAGAAGCGACCUCGCGAGAGCAAGCGGACCUCAUAAAGUGCGUCGUAGUCCGGAUUGGAGUCUGCAACUCGACUCCAUGAAGUCGGAAUCGCUAGUAAUCGUAGAUCAGAAUGCUACGGUGAAUACGUUCCCGGGCCUUGUACACACCGCCCGUCACACCAUGGGAGUGGGUUGCAAAAGAAGUAGGUAGCUUAACCUUCGGGAGGGCGCUUACCACUUUGUGAUUCAUGACUGGGGUGAAGUCGUAACAAGGUAGGCGUAGCGAG